rnacentral:rRNA from 1 species
CUGAGUUUGAUCCCUGGCUCAGGACGAACGCUGGCGGCGUGCCUAACACAUGCAAGUCGAGCGAAGUUUUCAAAGAUGAUUUCUUCGGAAUGAAACUUUGAUUAUCUUAGCGGCGGACGGGUGAGUAACGCGUGAGAAACCUGCCUUUUACAAAGGGAUAGCCUCGGGAAACUGGGAUUAAUACCUUAUGAUACUUAAUUUUCGCAUGAAAUUUAAGUCAAAGCAUAAAGCGGUAAAAGAUGGUCUCGCGUCCCAUUAGUUAGUUGGUGAGGUAAUGGCUCACCAAGACCGCGAUGGGUAGCCGGCCUGAGAGGGUGAACGGCCACACUGGAACUGAGACACGGUCCAGACUCCUACGGGAGGCAGCAGUGGGGAAUAUUGCACAAUGGAGGAAACUCUGAUGCAGCGACGCCGCGUGAACGAUGAAGGCCUUCGGGUCGUAAAGUUCUGUCCUAAGGGACGAUAAUGACGGUACCUAGGAGGAAGCCCC